AUACAGAGGGUGCGAGCGUUAAUCGGAAUUACUGGGCGUAAAGCGCGCGUAGGCGGCUUAUUAAGUCAGAUGUGAAAUCCCCGGGCUCAACCUGGGAACUGCAUCUGAUACUGGUAAGCUAGAGUUUAGGAGAGGGAAGUAGAAUUUCAGGUGUAGCGGUGAAAUGCAUAGAGAUCUGAAGGAAUACCAGUGGCGAAGGCGACUUCCUGGCCAAAAACUGACGCUGAGGUGCGAAAGCGUGGGUAGCAAACGGGAUUAGAAACCCCAGUAGUCC
rnacentral:rRNA from 1 species